rnacentral:tRNA from 1 species
GUGCCCGUAGCUCAGCCGGUAGAGCAUCUGACUUUUAAUCAGAGGGUCCCGGGUUCGAAUCCCGGCGGGCAUACCA